rnacentral:rRNA from 1 species
UACGAAGGGGGCUAGCGUUGCUCGGAAUUACUGGGCGUAAAGGGCGCGUAGGCGGGUCGUUUAGUUAGAGGUGAAAGCCCAGGGCUCAACCCUGGAAUUGCCUUUAAUACUGGCGGCCUUGAGUAUGGCAGAGGUGUGUGGAACUCCGAGUGUAGAGGUGAAAUUCGUAGAUAUUCGGAAGAACACCAGUGGCGAAGGCGACACACUGGGCCAUUACUGACGCUGAGGAGCGAAAGUGUGGGGAGGCGAACAGG